rnacentral:ncRNA from 1 species
GAUCUCUCAGGAUCGCUGGAGUUGAUUAAUAUAGUUUUACGAGGUAGAGAUAAUGAUUAGAGGAAUCAGGGAAAUCGUUUUCCUUGACCUAUUCUCAAACUCCCAAUACGUAAUAAGGGAUUAAUAUCUUUAUUGUAUUUUUCCCACUAUAAAUAAGAUAACUCCAAGUGGGCCAUUUUUGGUAAGCAGAACUGGCGAUGAGGGAUGCUCCU